AUCGCUUCUCGGCCUUUUGGCUAAGAUCAAAGUGUAGUAUCUGUUCUUAUCAGCUUAAUAUCUGAUACGUCUCCUAAUGGAGACAUCGAUAUUAAACUGAUUUUUAGAAUGGGAUGAGGUGCCACGGAGCUUGCUCCGCCCUCAUCACGGGUUGACCUGGUAUUGCAGUACCUCCGGGAACGGCCCACCACUC
rnacentral:snRNA from 1 species